rnacentral:rRNA from 1 species
UGCAAGUCGAACGAUGACUAUCUAGCUUGCUAGAUAUGAUUAGUGGCGGACGGGUGAGUAACAUUUAGGAAUCUGCCUAGUAGUGGGGGAUAGCUCGGGGAAACUCGAAUUAAUACCGCAUACGACCUACGGGUGAAAGGGGGCGCAAGCUCUUGCUAUUAGAUGAGCCUAAAUCAGAUUAGCUAGUUGGUGGGGUAAAGGCCCACCAAGGCGACGAUCUGUAACUGGUCUGAGAGGAUGAUCAGUCACACCGGAACUGAGACACGGUCCGGACUCCUACGGGAGGCAGCAGUGGGGAAUAUUGGACAAUGGGGGCAACCCUGAUCCAGCCAUGCCGCGUGUGUGAAGAAGGCCUUUUGGUUGUAAAGCACUUUAAGCAGGGAGGAGAGGCUAAUGGUUAAUACCCAUUAGAUUAGACGUUACCUGCAGAAUAAGCACCGGCUAACUCUGUGCCAGCAGCCGCGGUAAUACAGAGGGUGCGAGCGUUAAUCGGAAUUACUGGGCGUAAAGCGAGUGUAGGUGGCUCAUUAAGUCACAUGUGAAAUCCCCGGGCUUAACCUGGGAACUGCAUGUGAUACUGGUGGUGCUAGAAUAUGUGAGAGGGAAGUAGAAUUCCAGGUGUAGCGGUGAAAUGCGUAGAGAUCUGGAGGAAUACCGAUGGCGAAGGCAGCUUCCUGGCAUAAUAUUGACACUGAGAUUCGAAAGCGUGGGUAGCAAACAGGAUUAGAUACCCUGGUAGUCCACGCCGUAAACGAUGUCUACUAGCCGUUGGGGUCCUUGAGACUUUAGUGGCGCAGUUAACGCGAUAAGUAGACCGCCUGGGGAGUACGGCCGCAAGGUUAAAACUCAAAUGAAUUGACGGGGGCCCGCACAAGCGGUGGAGCAUGUGGUUUAAUUCGAUGCAACGCGAAGAACCUUACCUGGUCUUGACAUAGUGAGAAUCCUGCAGAGAUGCGGGAGUGCCUUCGGGAA